rnacentral:lncRNA from 1 species
AUAGUUCUGUGAGUGUAUUUCUUAUUUUGUAUGUGAAUGAAAUUUUCUUAAUCAAAAAUGACAUUCUUUAUAUUACAGAGAAUAAAGGUUUUGCUGUUAUCAUUAUUCUCCAUAAAGGACUUGGAAAAAGCAUCCCUCAUCCUAGGGAUGAAGAUCUAUAGAGAUAGAUCUAAGAGACUGCUAGGAUUAUUCUAGUCUAAUAUACAUAGAAUAUUUAUGACUAGAAUUUAUUCUAUCAUGUACACCAUAUACA